UACGGAGGGGGCGAGCGUUAUUCGGAAUUAUUGGGCGUAAAGGGCGCGUAGGCGGCCUGGCAAGUCAAAGGUGAAAUCCCUCGGCUCAACUGAGGAACUGCCUUUGAAACUGCUUGCUUGAGGCCGGGGAGGGGGUAGCGGAAUUCCCAGUGUAGCGGUGAAAUGCGUAGAUAUUGGGAGGAACACCAGUGGCGAAGGCGGCUACCUGGACCGGUUCUGACGCUGAUGCGCGAAAGCGUGGGUAGCAAACAGG
rnacentral:rRNA from 1 species